rnacentral:rRNA from 1 species
UACGGAGGGGGCAAGCGUUGUUCGGAAUUACUGGGCGUAAAGGGCUCGUAGGUGGCCCACUAAGUCCGGCGUGAAAUCCCUCGGCUUAACCGGGGAACUGCGUCUGAUACUGGAUGGCUUGAGUUCGGGAGAGGGAUGCGGAAUUCCAGGUGUAGCGGUGAAAUGCGUAGAUAUCUGGAGGAACACCGGUGGCGAAGGCGGCAUCCUGGACCGACACUGACACUGAGGAGCGAAAGCCAGGGGAGCAAACGGG